UUGUCUUGUGAGUUGGUCAUGAUCGUUAGUUUUUUGAGAGAAUUUGUGAGUUAGAAUUUUGGAGAAGAGGGCAAGUGAGAGUGAAGAAGGAUUUUUGACGGUUUGGAAAUAUAGAGAUGGCAGAAGGAAUGAUGUGUAUUUAAAGAGAAAUACACAUUUAAUGGGUAACGACAACUUUAGCAGUGGUAAAUUAAAGGUCUAAUCAACCUGAAAUUGCAGGUUUGAAUGAUUGGUUUAACCUCCCUAGAACUUAGGAAAUUUUUCCGGUUUAGAGUUCUAAGCAGACAGAAGUGAUUCAAAGCUAACAUAUAGAAUUUUCUAGGAAUUGAACAAUUAUAGGACUUCUGCUCAUGAUUUAAAUAUUUAUAUUUCCAAUUGUUUAGAGUAUAGAAAACAUAUCUUAGCUUUCAGAUGAAUCCAUACUGAUGAACCUAAUUCUUCAUUUAGAAUUCUCUUGAACAUGCCUCAGAUUACCAUAUUAGAGAAAAUUUUAUUAGAGAUCAGUGAGUUGUCAACGCCGCCUUUUUAUCGAGGGAAAAGAAUCGGGUUUACGAUAUUAUGGGUGGAAUGACUCCUUUAUCCCUCUUUGGGGGGAUUUAGGCUAUGGAGUUUGGAGAGAUUAUAGUGAAUUAGGACUCUUUUAGAGAAACGAAGAAGGAUUUGAAGGAAAACCAGAGAUAAGGUAAGGGCUUGAGAUUAUCUCGAGGGGAAAGUGUUAGGCACCCCUCAAGAUCCACUAGUGUGGUUCCCGGCCUUGCUUAGUUGUGACUUUAAGAAGAAUAGGAGUAGACAAGCAAAGUUGCACAUAAGAAAUACAAGCAAGUUGACAAUUUUGAAAGAAGAAAGCAACAAGUACAAAAGAGAGCUUAGUUUGAAGAAAACAUUAAUUUUCAAUAAAGGAAAAGCAGAGGGAAAAUGGGUCCUAUGUUUAACUAUAAUAUGGAUCAUUCGGCGCAAUACUCCCACACAUAUUCCUCAAAAGAGGGGUCACCUUAUGAUAUUAGCGCACCGUCAUCAUCUCCAUAUUCUAUCCUUCCCACCCCGUUAAGGUAUUCAAGUGCGAUCAGUCUUGUUUACCUAUUACAUGCUAAUACCCGUCCCGACCUAUCAAUCCCGGGGUAUUUAGACUUCUAAUAUUAAAGGGGAGAAAGGGAUGGGGCAUAUAUGGAGUUUAAAAGAACAAAAUACUAAGACGUUAAUCAAAACAAAUUGCAAAUAAGUGGGGUACAGAUCAAACACUCAAAGGCUCAUACAAACCCGUAAAUCACAACAACAAUUAGUUUAGCAUGACUUGCAAGUAUUGAUUUGGUCUUUAAUUAAAGAAAUUUAAGAGGCGGACGAAUCAGCUUAACUGAGAAAGUUGGAUAAAAAGUCUGCAUCGAGCCCCUUGGGUCUGAUUUGUUAGUUAUUGAGAUCUUAAUGUAGAAGAGCUUUAAGAGAAAGUAAAACUGUGGUAAGUUAGUAAGUAGAUUUGAAAUCAGCUGACCGUUUGAGUAGAGAAAUACAGAAGUUAUGAAAGAACUUUUUAGAGACAGGAACAUCUUAAGAAAAGAUGGGUUAGAGGGCUGUUUUUAAAAGGCAAUUUCAUGGACUGAGUAAAACAUUUAGGCAGAUAGUCGUUUAGGAAAAGAUGCAUAUUUGAAAUGUUUUAAAAGCAUACUGGUUUACAGGGGUUUUAUUGAAAACAUUACAUUAGGAUUUUAAUGACCCAUUAACAGACUGUUGUUACUUUAAGCAAAUUAGACAAGUUGAGACGGAGUCGUAUAUGCAUGAUAUCUAUUUAUCCGAUUCAUUACUCCUUUUAGAACAUUAGGGAACUGGUUAAUUAAUUAACCUACUGUUUGCCUAGCGUUUUAUGUGUUUCCUAUAGGCAUGAUUUCUAUGUGCUUACAAUGCAGAAGUCCUACAAACAUGAUCUUUAAACUAUUUGCGAUAUCAAAAUCCUAUAGGCAUAGUUUCUAGAUGAUUUGCAAUAUUAAAAAAAGUCCUGUAGACAGGAUUUCUAAAUGAUUUGUAAUAUUAAAAUCCUAUAGACAUGGUUUCUAAAUGAUUUGCAAUAUUAAAGUCCUAUAGGCAUGGUUUCUAUAUGAUUCGCAAUAUUAACGUCCUAUAGGCAUGAUUUCUAAAUAAUUUGCAAUAUUAAAGUCCUAUAGGCAUGGUUUCUAAAUGAUUUGCAAGCAAUAUAAACCCAUCCCACACUCUUUAUAGAUAUUUCCCCGAGUUUUUUUACAUAGUUAUUUCAAAACUGAAAGAAAAGGACUGAAAUAAAUACAUCAAAACUAAAGCCAGACCCGACGAGGCUCAAUGCAACCUUCAACAUCCACCACAUGUUUCACCAAAUCCAGAUUCCAGAUUACAAGGCCUUCUCUUAGAGUGUUUCAAAGUUCCAAGGGCUUUUAGGAAGCCCAGUUAAUGCUUACACCCUAAAGGAUUAAUGUGGUAACAGAGUAGUGCAAUGUGUGGAAUUACCAGCCCUUAGGCAUCCAAGUACAGAGGAAAUUCU
rnacentral:lncRNA from 1 species